GAUGAACGCUGGCGGCGUGCUUAACACAUGCAAGUCGAACGAUGAAGCCCAGCUUGCUGGGUGGAUUAGUGGCGAACGGGUGAGUAACACGUGAGUAACCUGCCCUUAACUCUGGGAUAAGCCUGGGAAACUGGGUCUAAUACCGGAUAGGCGCGUCGACCGCAGGGUGGGUGUUGGAAAGAUUUAUCGGUUUUGGAUGGACUCGCGGCCUAUCCGCUUGUUGGUGAGGUAAUGGCUCACCAAGGCGACGACGGAUAGCCGGCCUGAGAGGGUGACCGGCCACACUGGGACUGAGACACGGCCCAGACUCCUACGGGAGGCAGCAGUGGGGAAUAUUGCACAAUGGGCGCAAGCCUGAUGCAGCGACGCCGCGUGAGGGAUGACGGCCUUCGGGUUGUAAACCUCUUUCAGUAGGGAAGAAGCGAAAGUGACGGUACCUGCAGAAGAAGCACCGGCUAACUACGUG
rnacentral:rRNA from 1 species